rnacentral:rRNA from 1 species
UACGGGGGGGGCAAGCGUUGUUCGGAAUUACUGGGCGUAAAGGGUUUGUAGGUGGCCCGCUAAGUCACACGUGAAAUCCCUCAGCUUAACUGGGGAACUGCGUGUGAGACUGGCAGGCUUGAGUGCAGGAGAGGAACGCGGAAUUCCAGGUGUAGCGGUGAAAUGCGUAGAUAUCUGGAGGAACACCGGUGGCGAAGGCGGCGUUCUGGACUGUAUCUGACACUGAAGAACGAAAGCCAGGGGAGCAAACGGG